GAAACUGCGAAUGGCUCAUUAAAUCAGUUAUCGUUUAUUUGAUAGUACCUUACUACUUGGAUAACCGUGGUAAUUCUAGAGCUAAUACAUGCUAAAAACCCCGACUUCGGAAGGGGUGUAUUUAUUAGAUAAAAAACCAAUGCUCUUCGGGGCUCCUUGGUGAUUCAUGAUAACUUAACGAAUCGCAUGGCCUUGUGCCGGCGAUGGUUCAUUCAAAUUUCUGCCCUAUCAACUUUCGAUGGUAGGAUAGUGGCCUACCAUGGUUUCAACGGGUAACGGGGAAUUAGGGUUCUAUUCCGGAGAGGGAGCCUGAGAAACGGCUACCACAUCCAAGGAAGGCAGCAGGCGCGCAAAUUACCCAAUCCCGACACGGGGAGGUAGUGACAAUAAAUACUGAUACAGGGCUCUUUUGAGUCUUGUAAUUGGAAUGAGUACAAUUUAAAUCCCUUAACGAGGAACAAUUGGAGGGCAAGUCUGGUGCCAGCAGCCGCGGUAAUUCCAGCUCCAAUAGCGUAUAUUAAAGUUGUUGCAGUUAAAAAGCUCGUAGUUGAACCUUGGGCCUGGCUGGCCGGUCCGCCUCAC
rnacentral:rRNA from 1 species